CGCCGGGUAACGAGAAGGAGGCGCAGGGCGAAGAGCGGCCGCAUUUUAUUGGUCCGUCGGAGGGGAGACACUGACCCCGCCCCCCCCGCCGGCCGGUGCUGUGCGCGGGGUCCGAGGGCUCGAAGGAACUGGGGCAGAGAGAUCGGUUGUGUUUCACUGUGCAAAAAUUGCAGCCGACACAUUGGAAGUCAGGAGAGCAGCCACAGAAAGGUCACUCUGGGAGAAAUGAUUCGGUCUGAAGAGCUGAAACAAAAGCGGAUCUCGUUGCGCAAGAGUUGGACGGCAAACAGAAGAGGGGACGACGGAAGGAACUAAACUUCAGAUUCAGCAGCCUGGUUUUCUGUUCCCCUUAUUUUGCAGGAUAAUGUCCACCACAAACACGGCAUCAUAAGUCGUGUUUAAAUGAGCUACAAGUGGUUCCCCUUUGGAUGACCCCUUCUUCACGCACUGACACUAGGUCAGAGGUCGCUCACAAAAGUCAGUAGCAUGGGAUGGAUAGGAAACAAUGUCUGAACAAGAUUUCAUUUCUACUCAUGCAACAGUUGAGAAAUGUCCGUCUGGACCAAAGUUGAGGACCGACUGACAGAGUAUCAUUGGAGCCCUGCUGCCCGCACAGCCAGAUGAUAAACACGUGGAAAUGAAUGAUAAAGUUUUACAGUGUAAAAGGAAACUAAUUCCUCCUCUGUUGGAUUAAUGUCAUUUGACAUCAAACCAUGAGGAAACUGUCCUUUCGACUGCUGUCGCGUCCCUUUCCCACAACGUACAGUAAGUUCAAAUAAUGGCACAACACUGUCAAGUGAAUAAAAGCUGCGCAAAGUUAGCAUUUAAUCUUUCAUAUUACAACUGCUUCCAGUUCAUUAUUCAUGUGUACAUCACCAGACUGAAAUAACCAUAUAUCAAAUAAAAAUGCGUACGGUGUAGUUAUAGUAAAUGGCUGUAGCAACACACACACAAAAAAGCUGCAUACUUGAAAUAUACAAUUUACAAAAUGUACAAAGAAACUGAAUUGAGACAGAUUAUUAUCCAUAGUCAUUGCAAUAUACAUUAAAUCACAGCUGAUUGUAUGAAUGUGCUCGAUAAGAACAAUGCACAGCUACUUGCCACAAUGAAAACAAGUAGAUUCACUCACAAAUUAAUAGUUUAAGAUUGUUUUUGGACAUGACAGUAGGAUUUAAAAAUGAACUUUACCAACCUUUGAAUUUGGCACAGAUUUCCAGUAAUAUUUCACACAAAAAUAUACACAUGCUCACAAUAUAAACCCAAACUCACAGACAGAUGAUGACAGACAGUCAGACCUCAUCGGUUCAUCGCUGAACCAUAAGACGCCUACUGUGCAGCGCUACAUGCACGUUAGAAAAACACAUUCAACAUAUUUAUUCUCUUUAAUUGUUAUCUUGCCAUGUCAACACACCUUAAAUUCCCUUAGAUGAAUGUCCUGAAGUCUGGUUCCUUCUCUUUCCAGGACAUAUACAGUAAUUCUUUAUAUUGUUAAUUUCUUCUGAGAUACUGUACAGUGAUUGUCUCUGACAGGAGCCUUGAAGGAAGAUCGUACAGUAUAAUGGAGAAGUGUUUUUAUAUAUUUGUUCCUUAAUGUGGUUUUUGUUCAUUGAAUUUUAGUCACGGUAAAAUAUCUGUUUUAGCCCCUCUGCAAAUGUUCCUCAAAUUUAUAAAAAUGUGUCAUUUUGGGAAAUGUGCUCAUUCGCUUUAUGUGGGAGAAUUAAAGGAGAACAUUGAUUAUCCCAAUUUGGUCAGAUAAGGCUACAGCUAGCAGCGAUGUAGCGUAGCAAUAAAGAAAUAAAGGGGAACAGAUCUGGUAAAAAAUGUACACGUAAUGUCUCAUUUAUUCAUUCCUUGUACAAUUUGUGUUUAAAACAACAGACUGAAAGUACA